AUUGAACGCUGGCGGCAUGCCUUACACAUGCAAGUCGAACGGCAGCACGGGUGCUUGCACCUGGUGGCGAGUGGCGAACGGGUGAGUAAUACAUCGGAACAUGUCCUGUAGUGGGGGAUAGCCCGGCGAAAGCCGGAUUAAUACCGCAUACGAUCUACGGAUGAAAGCGGGGGACCUUCGGGCCUCGCGCUAUAGGGUUGGCCGAUGGCUGAUUAGCUAGUUGGUGGGGUAAAGGCCUACCAAGGCGACGAUCAGUAGCUGGUCUGAGAGGACGACCAGCCACUCUGGGACUGAGACACGGCCCAGACUCCUACGGGAGGCAGCAGUGGGGAAUUUUGGACAAUGGGCGAAAGCCUGAUCCAGCAAUGCCGCGUGUGUGAAGAAGGCCUUCGGGUUGUAAAGCACUUUUGUCCGGAAAGAAAUCCUUGGCUCUAAUACAGUCGGGGGAUGACGGUACCGGAAGAAUAAGCACCGGCUAACUACGUG
rnacentral:rRNA from 1 species